rnacentral:rRNA from 1 species
UACAAAGGGUACGAACGUUGCUCGGAAUUACUGGGCGUAAAGCGCGUGUAGACGGACCGGUAAGUCAAAUGUGAAAUCCCUAGGCUCAACCCAAGAACUGCAUUUGGAACUACUGGUCUAGAGUAUCGAAGAAGAUGGCGGAAUUCCUGGUGUAGAGAUGAAAUUCGUAGAUAUCAAAAGGAACACCAAUGGCGAAGGCAACCACCUAGACGGUCACUGACGCUGAGACGCGAAAGCGUGGGAAGCAAACAGG